rnacentral:tRNA from 1 species
GCAUUGGUGGUUCAGUGGUAGAAUUCUGCUUGCCACGCUGAGGUCCGGUUCGAUUCCCCCUGCCAAUGCA